rnacentral:rRNA from 1 species
UUCAGACGAUGCGUCAUGCAUAUCAAUAAGCGGAGGAAAAGAAACUAACAAGGAUUCCCUUAGUAACGGCGAGUGAAGCGGGAAGAGCUCAAAUUUGAAAUCUUAAAGGUUUUCCCUUGACGAAUUGUAGUUUAAAGAAGUGUUUUCUGUUGAAGGUUUUGGUAAAAGUUCUUUGGAAUAGGACAUCAUAGAGGGUGAGAAUCCCGUAUUUGACCAUUUACUUUUCAGCUUUGUGAUACACUUUCAAAGAGUCGGAUUGUUUGGGAAUGCAGUCCAAAAUGGGUGGUAAAUUUCAUCUAAAGCUAAAUAUUGGCGAGAGACCGAUAGCGAACAAGUACCGUGAGGGAAAGAUGAAAAGAACUUUGAAAAGAGAGUUAAACAGUACGUGAAAUUGUCAAAAGGGGAAGCGUUUGACACCAGUGUUGUUUUCUCGAAAAUCAAUUAAAAAUGGCUCGAUUUUGUAUUGCUUGAGACCUUAAAAGCUCACUGUACAUUUUUCGUGUCCUUUUUUAAUGCACUUUUCGUUUAACAAGUCAACAUCGGUUUCUUUUGUUGUAAAAGGGUCAUUGGAAGGUGGCUUUCUUUUCGGAGAAAGUGUUUAUAGCCUUUGGCCUCUGCAAUCGGAGAGACUGAGGUCUGCAGCGUAGACUCUUCGGGGUUAGAUACAUUUGUGCUAAGUUAUAGCUUUUUAUAGACAACCUUGUUGACUAUAAUUAGUCUUGUAGCUUACUCGCUUAUGCUAUUUUACCUACGCUUAGGAUGUUGACUGAUAUGUAGUCGUA